rnacentral:rRNA from 1 species
CCUACGUGCGGCAGCAGUGAGGAAUAUUGGUCAAUGGGCGUAAGCCUGAACCAGCCAAGUCGCGUGAGGGAUGAAGGUUCAAUGGAUCGUACACCUCUUUUAUAAGGGAAUAAAGUGCGGGACGUGUCCCGUUUUGUAUGUACCUUAUGAAUAAGCAUCGGCUAACUCCGUGCCAGCAGCCGCGGUAAUACGGAGGAUCCGAGCGUUAUCCGGAUUGAUUGGGUUUAAAGGGUGCGUAGGCGGCCUUUUAAGUCAGCGGGGAAAGUCGGUGGCUCAACCAUGGAAUUGCCGUUGAAACUGGGAGGCUUGAGUAUGGUUGAGGCAGGCGGAAUGCGUGGUGUAGCGGUGAAAUGCUUAGAUAUCACGCAGAACCCCGAUUGCGAAGGCAGCCUGCCGAGCCAUGACUGACGCUGAUGCACGAAAGCGUGGGGAUCAAACAGGAUUAGAUACCCCAGUAGUC